UUGAUGAUUUUGGAGGACUUGCGGCGUUUUUGCUCAAGACGGCACAUUAGGUACAAUUACAUUAAAGAAUAUUAUAUCUAUUGAAUAAUUAAAUACUACUACCUAAUACUAGUACAAACUGAAGACAAGACUCGACUUAAUAAUACAGUAUAAUAAUAAUAAUAUUAUUAUGGUAAGUCAAAACCAUUGGUUGAGAUAGUAGUGAGAUAAAGGAAUAAUAUACGCCAAUACCGCGGUAUUGGGAAAACGAUUACCUAUUCAGUUAUAGCGCUAGCAGUCUUUCUAAAUAAGCCGCUAAAGUAGGAUUCAUUAUCUCGUUUUACGCGCGAAUAUAAUAUAGGAUUUUAAACCAUAUUAACGUGAAAUCCGUUUUUGGAGUGUACUAGUGAACGAUUAUUUACUGAACGAUUUUUGCGUUUUGAAAAAGCGUCACGUCGUAGGCGCCUAUUCUAAAAGCUGGGUAUUGAGUCAUAAAGAUAACAACGACGUACAUACACGAUACAUAAAUAUUAUCUCUAUCGUUCGAUAUUACUCAUCGUCAUUUAUCGAAGAAAUGUUCACGUUAAUUGUGAUAUUAUGUAAUAUGUGUUCACUCUACUAUCCAAUCAUUGUAAAUCGGUAGCAGACUUGUCUCAGAAAUAUUGUACUGCUGUGAUUUCUCAGUUUUUAUUUUUCACAGUCGGUACCUAUAGUAGGUACUGUAUAUUUAGUCAUCGGAAAUGUGUCUUCCGACGCCAAUUAAAGAGGAGAUAAAGAAGAAAAUUAAUCUCAGAAACUACAACGCGUUAGUUGCGUUGCAAUUAAUGAAGUUAUUCACAGAAAUGUUUAUCUACCUGAACCGUAUACAUUACUGGUCGUUCGUCCACCGAGGGAUCGAUUUGGGACUGACUGAAGAGGAAUGGAUAUUGCAAUUUCUAGGCCCCAAUGGUGAAGUCCCGUUUCUACACAGAGCGUUUAGCAACACGGGAUAUACUUCAUCGGAAGAUGAUGAUGACAUGAGUUGAUAUAACUACAUUUUAUAUACCAUUACUAGGUAUAUUAUAAUAAUUUAGAUUAUUUAGAAUCCAAUAGUCACGAUCUACAUUCAAUUAUAAUAAAUAAUAAUUAUAAUGUUCAAUGUUGACAUAUUACAGAAAAGCGUUUAUGAAUUAUAAAAUAAGUAUAGGUAGGUAGAAUUGUAAAAUUUAAGAUAAUUAUAAAUCAUAAUUGUAGUAUUAAUAUUCUAAACGUAAGCAAAUUGGAAUCAAUAUUGUUAUUUAUGUUUACAGAGAUAUA